UUGCGUAACUCAUGUGCAAAAUAACUGCAGCCAUGCAGGAAGUUAAACAAUCACAGCAAGUUUUCAACUCUCUGCCCUCAAGCAACCCUCCACUGAAGAAAAGUUUUAUUUUUCACUCUACGGAAAGAAGACUAGUCGUCUGGGGAAGGAACAAAUGUACCCACAGGACACUUUGACCAGUCUUUUCUAUACAUCAAUUCCUCGACAGCAGGCCCAUAGGCUGUGUUGCCUACGUGUGUGGUGGUCAGGGCACUACACUGAAACAUUCCACACUCACUGUGCACACCAUCUCCCACGUGUGGUUGGCUUAGUACAGCACCAAGCACAGGCAAGUAAGCUCCAAGAGCAUUAUGCUGGUGACACUACUGCUGCUUUUCCAUGGGGAGGGGGUGAGGGGAUGAUACUGCAUGGUCCAAGUGGUUCAUAGGACCUGCACCAGAGUGACACAGACAUGUCCUCAGUCUCACAGAAUACAUUUUGACCUGUGACAUUUAGAAGACAGUAAAACUUUAAAUGUGUUGCUUCCUGA